rnacentral:rRNA from 1 species
GCAAGUCGAGGGGUAACAGAGGGUGCUUGCACCUUGCUGACGACCGGCGCACGGGUGCGUAACGCGUAUGCAACCUACCUUUUACAGGAGGAUAGUUAAUAGAAAUGUUGAAUAAUACUCCAUACGAUCUUUGAGUGGCAUUACUUAAAGAAGAAAGCUUUUGCGGUAAAAGAUGGGCAUGCGUCCUAUUAGUUAGUUGGUGAGGUAACGGCUCACCAAGACAUCGAUAGGUAGGGGUCCUGAGAGGGAGACC